GACGAACGCUGGCGGCGUGCUUAACACAUGCAAGUCGAACGGAAAGGCCCUGCUUGCAGGGUACUCGAGUGGCGAACGGGUGAGUAACACGUGGGUGAUCUGCCCUGCACUUCGGGAUAAGCCUGGGAAACUGGGUCUAAUACCGGAUAGGAGCCAUUUUUAGUGUGAUGGUUGGAAAGUUUUUUCGGUGUAGGAUGAGCUUGCUGCCUAUCAGCUUGUUGGUGGGGUAAUGGCCUACCAAGGCGGCGACGGGUAGCCGGCCUGAGAGGGUGGACGGCCACAUUGGGACUGAGGUACGGCCCAGACUCCUACGGGAGGCAGCAGUGGGGAAUAUUGCACAAUGGGCGCAAGCCUGAUGCAGCGACGCCGCGUGGGGGAUGACGGCCUUCGGGUUGUAAACUCCUUUCGCUAGGGACGAAGCUUUUUGUGACGGUACCUAGAUAAGAAGCACCGGCUAACUACGUG
rnacentral:rRNA from 1 species